GCGGCUGUGGUGUAAUUGGUAGCCACGCCAGACUUAGGAUCUGGUGCCGAAAGGCGUGGGGGUUCGAGUCCCUUCAGCCGCA
rnacentral:tRNA from 1 species